rnacentral:rRNA from 1 species
ACGUCGCAAGACCAAAGAGGGGGACCUUCGGGCCUCUUGCCAUCAGAUGUGCCCAGAUGGGAUUAGCUUGUUGGUGAGGUAACGGCUCACCAAGGCGACGAUCCCUAGCUGGUCUGAGAGGAUGACCAGCCACACUGGAACUGAGACACGGUCCAGACUCCUACGGGAGGCAGCAGUGGGGAAUAUUGCACAAUGGGCGCAAGCCUGAUGCAGCCAUGCCGCGUGUAUGAAGAAGGCCUUCGGGUUGUAAAGUACUUUCAGCGGGGAGGAAGGUGUUGUGGUUAAUAACCGCAGCAAUUGACGUUACCCGCAGAAGAAGCACCGGCUAACUCCGUGCCAGCAGCCGCGGUAAUACGGAGGGUGCAAGCGUUAAUCGGAAUUACUGGGCGUAAAGCGCACGCAGGCGGUCUGUCAAGUCGGAUGUGAAAUCCCCGGGCUCAACCUGGGAACUGCAUUCGAAACUGGCAGGCUUGAGUCUUGUAGAGGGGGGUAGAAUUCCAGGUGUAGCGGUGAAAUGCGUAGAGAUCUGGAGGAAUACCGGUGGCGAAGGCGGCCCCCUGGACAAAGACUGACGCUCAGGUGCGAAAGCGUGGGGAGCAAACAGGAUUAGAUACCCUGGUAGUCCACGCCGUAAACGAUGUCUACUUGGAGGUUGUGCCCUUGAGGCGUGGCUUCCGGAGCUAACGCGUUAAGUAGACCGCCUGGGGAGUACGGCCGCAAGGUUAAAACUCAAAUGAAUUGACGGGGGCCCGCACAAGCGGUGGAGCAUGUGGUUUAAUUCGAUGCAACGCGAAGAACCUUACCUGGUCUUGACAUCCACAGAAGAAUCCAGAGAUGGAUUUGUGCCUUCGGGAACUGUGAGACAGGUGCUGCAUGGCUGUCGUCAGCUCGUGUUGUGAAAUGUUGGGUUAAGUCCCGCAACGAGCGCAACCCUUAUCCUUUGUUGCCAGCGGUUAGGCCGGGAACUCAAAGGAGACUGCCAGUGAUAAACUGGAGGAAGGUGGG